rnacentral:rRNA from 1 species
GACGAACGCUGGCGGUGUGCUUAACACAUGCAAGUCGAACGGAAAGGCCCUGCUUUUGUGGGGUGCUCGAGUGGCGAACGGGUGAGUAACACGUGAGUAACCUGCCCUUGACUUUGGGAUAACUUCAGGAAACUGGGGCUAAUACCGGAUAGGAGCUCCUGCUGCAUGGUGGGGGUUGGAAAGUUUCGGCGGUUGGGGAUGGACUCGCGGCUUAUCAGCUUGUUGGUGGGGUAGUGGCUUACCACGGCUUUGACGGAUAGCCGGCCUGAGAGGGUGACCGGCCACAUUGGGACUGAGAUACGGCCCAGACUCCUACGGGAGGCAGCAGUGGGGAAUAUUGCACAAUGGGCGGAAGCCUGAUGCAGCAACGCCGCGUGCGGGAUGACGGCCUUCGGGUUGUAAGCCGCUUUCGCCUGUGACGAAGCGUGAGUGACGGUAAUGGGUAAAGAAGCACCGGCUAACUACGUG